AUUGAACGCUGGCGGCAGGCCUAACACAUGCAAGUCGAACGAGAGGCGCACGGGUGUGUAAUGUCUGUGAAACUGUCCGCUGGAGGGGGAUAACUACUGUAAACGGUAGCUAAUACCGCAUACCAUCGGAUGUGCCCAGAUGGGGUUAGCUCUUAGGUGAGGUAACGGCUCACCUAGGCGAAGAUCCCUAGCUGGUGUGAGAGGAUGACCAGCCACACUGGAAAUGAGACACGGUCCAGACUCCUACGGGAGGCAGCAGUGGGGAAGAUUGAACAAUGGGAGCAAGCCUGAUGCAGCCAUGCCGCGUGUAUGAAGAAGGCCUUCGGGUUGUAAAGUACUUUCAGCGAGGAGGCGUUAAUCGCAGAAGAAGCACCGGCUAACUCCGUGCCAGCCGGCGCGGUAAUAG
rnacentral:rRNA from 1 species